UACGUAGGUGGCAAGCGUUGUCCGGAUUUACUGGGCGUAAAGGGAUGCGUAGGCGGACAUUUUAAGUCAGAUGUGAAAUACCCGAGCUUAACUUGGGUGCUGCAUUUGAAACUGGGUGUCUAGAGUGCAGGAGAGGUAAGUGGAAUUCCUAGUGUAGCGGUGAAAUGCGUAGAGAUUAGGAAGAAACACCAGUGGCGAAAGGCGACUUACUGGACUGUAACUGACGCUGAGGCAUGAAAGCGUGGGGAGCAAACAGG
rnacentral:rRNA from 1 species